UACAGAGGGUGCGAGCGUUAAUCGGAAUUACUGGGCGUAAAGCGUGCGUAGACGGUUUCGUAAGUCGGGUGUGAAAUCCCCGGGCUCAACCUGGGAAUUGCAUUCGAAACUGCGAGGCUAGGGUACGGAAGAGGGAAGCGGAAUUUCUGGUGUAGCGGUGAAAUGCGUAGAUAUCAGGAGGAACACCGAUGGCGAAGGCAGGUCUCUGGGCCGAUACUGACGCUGAGGAGCGAAAGCGUGGGGAGCGAACAGG
rnacentral:rRNA from 1 species